UGGCUCAGAACGAACGCUGGCGGCGUGCCUAACACAUGCAAGUCGAGCGCGAAAGGGGGUUUCGGCUCCUGAGUAGAGCGGCGAACGGGUGCGUAACACGUGGGUAAUCUAUCCUGGAGAUGGGGAUAACCCAGCGAAAGCUGGGCUAAGACGCAAUAAGACCACGGUCAGAAAUGACUGAGGGCAAAGGGUGCUUCUGUGAGGGAGCAUUCGCUGUGGGAGGAGCCCGCGACCUAUCAGCUAGUUGGUGCGGUAAUGGCGCACCAAGGCCAAGGCGGGUAGCUGGUCUGAGAGGAUGACCAGCCACACGGGGACUGAGUCACGGCCCCGACGAAUACGGGAGGCAGC
rnacentral:rRNA from 1 species